rnacentral:rRNA from 1 species
UACGUAGGUGGCAAGCGUUGUCCGGAUUUACUGGGCGUAAAGAGCGCGCAGGCGGUCGUUCAAGUCGCGUGUGAAAGCCCCCGGCUCAACUGGGGAGGGUCACGCGAUACUGAUCGACUCGAAGGCAGGAGAGGGAAGUGGAAUUCCCGGUGUAGUGGUGAAAUGCGUAGAUAUCGAGAGGAACACCUGCGGCGAAGGCGGGUUGCUGGGCUGACACUGACGCUGAGGAGCGAAAGCGUGGGGAGCAAACAGG